rnacentral:rRNA from 1 species
AGGUUAAGUUAACAAGGGCGCAUGGUGAAUGCCUUGGCACUAGGAGCCGAUGAAGGACGGGACUAACACCGAUAUGCUUCGGGGAGCUGUACGUAAGCUAUGAUCCGGAGAUUUCCGAAUGGGGCAACCCAGCAGUUUUAAUCAACUGUUACCACUAGAUGAAUUCAUAGUCUAGUUGGAGGUAAACGCUGUGAACUGAAACAUCUCAUUAGCAGCAGGAAUAUAAAGAAAUUUCGAUUCCCUAAGUAGCGGCGAGCGAACGGGGAACAGCCCAAACCAAAGUGCUUGCACUUUGGGGUUGUAGGACUGAACAUUUGAGUUACCAAAGAACUUGAUAGUCGAAGGAUUUGGGAAAAUCCGCCAUAGAUGGUGAUAGCCCAGUAGAUUAAAUCAAAUUCUCUCAGUUCAGGAUCCUGAGUACGGCGGAACACGUGAAAUUCCGUCGGAAUCCGGGAGGACCAUCUCCCAAGGCUAAAUACUACCUAGUGACCGAUAGUGAACCAGUACCGUGAGGGAAAGGUGAAAAGCACCCCGGGAGGGGAGUGAAAUAGUUCCUGAAACCAUGUGCCUACAAUAAGUCAGAGCGCGUUAAUGCGUGAUGGCGUGCCUUUUGUAGAAUGAACCGGCGAGUUAUGAUCCCGUGCAAGGUUAAGACUAAAAAGUCGGAGCCGUAGCGAAAGCGAGUCUGAAAUGGGCGUUUUGAGUACGAGGUUAUAGACCCGAAACCAGGUGACCUAUCCAUGUCCAGGUUGAAGGUGCGGUAAAACGCACUGGAGGACCGAACCCGUGUAAGUUGAAAAUUGCUGGGAUGAGGUGUGGAUAGCGGUGAAAUUCCAAACGAACUUGGAGAUAGCUGGUUCUCUCCGAAAUAGCUUUAGGGCUAGCCUCGGAAUUAGGAUCAUGGAGGUAGAGCACUAUUUGGACUAGGGGCCCAUCUUGGGUUACUGAAUUCAGAUAAACUCCGAAUGCCAUUGAUUCAUAUCCGGGAGUCAGACGAUGAGUGAUAAGAUCCACCGUCGAAAGGGGAACAGCCCAGACCAUCAGUUAAGGUCCCUAAAUGUAUGCUAAGUGGAAAAGGAUGUGGAGUUGCAUAGACAACUAGGAUGUUGGCUCAGAAGCAGCCACCAUUUAAAGAGUGCGUAAUAGCUCACUAGUCGAGUGAUCCUGCGCCGAAAAUGUACCGGGGCUAAGCAUACUACCGAAACCAUGGAUGCGACCAUUAGGUCGCGUGAUAGGAGAGCGUUCUAAGGGCGGUGAAGCAAGAUCGUGAGGACUUGUGGAGCGCUUAGAAGUGAGAAUGCCGGUAUGAGUAGCGAAAGAUAGGUGAGAAUCCUAUCCACCGAAUGACUAAGGUUUCCUGGGGAAGGCUCGUCCUCCCAGGGUUAGUCGGGACCUAAGUCGAGGCCGAGAGGCGUAGACGAUGGAUAACAGGUUGAGAUUCCUGUACUAGUUAAGUGCGUUUGAGCAAUGGAGGGACGCAGGAGGCUAAGAUGUGCAUUCUGUUGGAUUAGAAUGUCCAAGCAGUAAGUCUUGUGAAGAGUCAAAUGCUUUUCACUUUAAGGACAAGCUGUGAUGGGGAGCGAAAUUUAGUAGCGAAGCGUCUGAUGUCACACUGCCGAGAAAAGCUUCUAGUGAGUACUUAACUACCCGUACCGCAAACCGACACAGGUAGUCGAGGAGAGAAUCCUAAGGUGAGCGAGUGAACUCUCGUUAAGGAACUCGGCAAAAUGACCCCGUAACUUCGGGAGAAGGGGUGCUGAUCGCAAGAUCAGCCGCAGUGAAUAGGCCCAGGCGACUGUUUAUCAAAAACACAGGUCUCUGCAAAAUCGUAAGAUGACGUAUAGGGGCUGACGCCUGCCCGGUGCUGGAAGGUUAAAAGGAUGGGUUAGCUUCGGCGAAGCUCAGAAUUGAAGCCCCAGUAAACGGCGGCCGUAACUAUAACGGUCCUAAGGUAGCGAAAUUCCUUGUCGGGUAAGUUCCGACCCGCACGAAAGGCGUAACGAUCUGGGCACUGUCUCAACGAGAGACUCGGUGAAAUUAUAUUGUCCGUGAAGAUGCGGACUACCCGCGACAGGACGGAAAGACCCCAUGGAGCUUUACUGUAGCUUGAUAUUGAGUGUUUGUACAGCUUGUACAGGAUAGGUAGGAGCCAUAGAAACCGGAACGCUAGUUUCGGUGGAGGCGUUGGUGGGAUACUACCCUCGCUGUAUGACCACUCUAACCCGCACCACUAAUCGUGGUGGGAGACAGUGUCAGGUGGGCAGUUUGACUGGGGCGGUCGCCUCCUAAAAAGUAACGGAGGCGCCCAAAGGUUCCCUCAGAAUGGUUGGAAAUCAUUCGCAGAGUGUAAAGGCACAAGGGAGCUUGACUGCGAGACAGACAGGUCGAGCAGGGACGAAAGUCGGGCUUAGUGAUCCGGUGGUACCGUAUGGAAGGGCCAUCGCUCAACGGAUAAAAGCUACCCUGGGGAUAACAGGCUUAUCUCCCCAAGAGUCCACAUCGACGGGGAGGUUUGGCACCUCGAUGUCGGCUCAUCGCAUCCUGGGGCUGUAGUCGGUCCCAAGGGUUGGGCUGUUCGCCCAUUAAAGCGGUACGCGAGCUGGGUUCAGAACGUCGUGAGACAGUUCGGUCCCUAUCCGUCGCGGGCGUAGGAAAUUUGAGAGGACCUGUCCUUAGUACGAGAGGACCGGGAUGGACAUACCUCUGGUGUACCAGUUGUGCCGCCAGGCGCAUCGCUGGGUAGCUACGUAUGGAUGUGAUAAACGCUGAAAGCAUCUAAGUGUGAAACACACCUCGAGAUGAGAUUUCCCAUUCCUUUAUGGAAGUAAGACCCCUGAAAGAUGAUCAGGUAGAUAGGUUAGAAGUGGCAGUGCGGUGACGCAUGAAGCGGACUAAUACUAAUCGGUCGAGGACUUAACCAAG